GUGAGGGCGAGAGUGACACGCUCCCGCCCCCCUCCCCCCCGCCCGAGAGGGUGGCUCAGGAGGCAGCGGGAGGGGAUGGUGUGUAUCGCGGAGGCGGUGGCCGCUCCGGCUCCUCCACCGCCCCGCGCCUUUGCCGUGGAUCUGCCCAGGGCCCCCCGGCCCGCACAGAUAUGAGGCAUCUAUUAGCAAGCUAAAAGUGACUGAACCAUGGCUCAGUUUCCAACACCUUUUGGGGGCAACCUGGAUAUCUGGGCCAUAACUGUGGAAGAGAGAGCUAAACAUGAUCAGCAGUUCCAUAGUCUGAAACCAACUUCUGGAUUUAUCACUGGUGAUCAAGCUAGAAACUUUUUUUUCCAAUCUGGAUUACCUCAACCGGUGUUAGCACAAAUAUGGCA